rnacentral:rRNA from 1 species
AGAGUUUGAUUCCUGGCUCAGGACGAACGCUGGCGGCGUGCUUAACACAUGCAAGUCGAGCGGUAAGGCCCUUCGGGGUACACGAGCGGCGAACGGGUGAGUAACACGUGAGUAAUCUGCCCUUCACUUCGGGAUAACCACCGGAAACGGUGGCUAAUACCGGAUAUGACCAGGCCAUGCAUGUGGUUUGGUGGAAAGUUCUGGCGGUGGAGGAUGUGCUCGCGGCCUAUCAGCUUGUUGGUGAGGUAAUGGCUCACCAAGGCUUCGACGGGUAGCCGGCCUGAGAGGGUGACCGGCCACACUGGGACUGAGACACGGCCCAGACUCCUACGGGAGGCAGCAGUGGGGAAUAUUGGACAAUGGGCGAAAGCCUGAUCCAGCAACGCCGCGUGAGGGAUGACUGCCUUCGGGUUGUAAACCUCUUUCAGUACCGACGAAGCGAGAGGACGUAGGACAGAAGAAGCACCGCC